GUCGCUUCUCGGCCUUUUGGCUAAGAUCAAGUGUAGUAUCUGAACUUUAUUUUUCUCCAUAGAGCAAUUAGACACUUUUU